CAGGGAAUUCAAACACCGUGAGCUCCGGCACCCCGGGUCUGCGAGCUGUAAGUGCGUAAGCUUUUCCCGACGUGGAGAAUGGUUCUACCAAUAUUUUUAAAAUGACCACACCAAACAAGACACCUCCUGGCGCUGACCCUAAGCAGCUGGAAAGGACUGGAACGGUACGGGAAAUUGGCUCACAAGCUGUUUGGUCACUCUCAUCUUGCAAACCAGGAUUUGGAGUGGAUCAAUUACGAGAUGACAAUCUAGAAACUUAUUGGCAAUCGGAUGGCUCCCAGCCUCAUUUAGUGAACAUUCAAUUCAGGAGAAAAACAACGGUGAAGACAUUAUGUAUUUAUGCGGACUACAAAUCUGAUGAAAGUUAUACUCCAAGCAAAAUCUCAGUCAGAGUAGGAAAUAAUUUCCACAACCUUCAAGAAAUUCGGAGAAAGACCACUCGUUUUUGUAUGGGAAUUAACUUUGAUGUGAGACGUCGCACUACACCUACACUCUAGACAAAUACAAAACAAGGUUUCCCUCCUUCUCUGACAUCCUAUGAAGUAUUGGAGGUAGGACCAAUUCGUGUUGGUGUGAUGAAGAGAAGGUGCUCUGAGAAAGUACAUACGAUUAUCAAAUACUGGCAAGACCCAUCUCACCACACUCCCCUGACAAAGAAACUCAUCCUUCUUCAAUGGAGAGCUGCUAGAAGAUACCCAGCAAUUUAGCAAUUUUAGGAAGUGUCUCACAGGGUAUGUGAUUUCUGGUAUGUAGCAAUUGGUCCAUGUCUCAUGCGUGUUUAGGAUCACAUUUUAUCUUCUAAAGGUGGAAAUGCAAAGACAGACUAGAAAAGUACACAUGGGAGAAUGAAAUAUAUUCUAGGUGGAGACCAACUACCUGAAGGUCACACUAGUUUUCUUAAAUGAUUCCCUUCCCCACUCUCUCAAACAUAAACAAAAUAAACCAGCCAACUUGGAUUUAAGUUCCAACCUACACAGAGGGACGAUACUGGAAGUGGUUAUUUUCUAGAAUUCCCAGCUUCCCGGCUGCUACUUAUUCCAUAUACUAAUGUUCUUUUGACACCUCAUGCCUAUGGGGGGAAAUGUAUAUACAUACUCAGUUAUAUACUGAAAAAUGGUUAUGGUCACAGUAGUUGGUGUAUGUAUGUACAUGAUUUAUUUUACAUAAGUUUUAUAUUUGUCAAGUGGAAUUGAAUUUCAUAUUUGUAUUUUUCCCUAAGCUUUUUACCUGUGUGAGCUGUGAUAUUUGAUAUAGUGUGGCCUAUUAGUUAAUGGAUUGACUUACACCUUUCAUCUUGUCUAGGUGGUGGUUGGCUGUGCUAUAGCUUUCACUAUGUGCUGCCCAAGAAAUCCAAUAUGAUAUCAGGGAAUGACUUGAACAUUAGGGACUACUGUCUCAAUAGGUGUGAAACAUUAACAAUACUUGUGGUUUCCCAAAGUUCAGUUCUCCAAAACAACUUCUCUAAAAGAUAAAAUGCUUCAAUAAAAUUAAACGGUGAGACAUCUAUUUGCAAUAAUAAAGUAACAAAAUUAGUAAAAUGACCAAAAGUCUAAACUCUUCUCAAAAUCAAAGUCCUAGCACUAUAAACACUUUAUUGAAGAAGGAAAAUUUAUAGAAAAAUUGGCAACACAGAGAGAAAGCAAAGCUCUUAUGCUUGUGUGUUUAGGCUAGGUGAAAAUAAAUGAAAGGUUUAACAAAAACUACAAGAAUAUUCAUGGGAAUUAAAAAUGAGUAAAAAUGACAAUUUAAAAAGCUUUGUAACUAUGCUAAACUAUUACAACCUACAGCUUGAAUACUUUUUAGACCUUAGAUUUCAAUUUAAAAGUAUACAUUUCUAGACUGAAUUGUAAAAGGGUAAAAUAUUGGGUAGUUAUAUUGUUAGACAUGGCAAAAUCUCAGAUAUGUAAACUAAGAACUAGAUCAAUUCUCCUCUAGACUGAAAGCUUCCUGGAGGCAGGGGCCUCAUCUUGGUAUUUCUGGUGUCUUCCAAAGGAUCUCAUCUGUAGUAGAAGCCUUGUCAUCAUAGGUUAACAUAUAUUGAGCUCUUACUAUGUGCCAGAGAGGAGGCUAAGUAAUUAGCAAGCAUUAUCUUCCUAAACUUUAUAACAACUCUAGAGUUUAAUGCUAUUUUACACUAUCCCUAGUUUCUGGGUAAAGGAUUUGAGUAACUUGCUCAAAAUGCACAACCAGAAAGUGGCAGAGAUUGUCUGCGACUGGAGGCCAAAUAAUACAAGCUAUUGUUACAUCACCCCACAGAGAAUAGAUUGUAUUCCCCCAUCAGUACCCAUUGUUCACGGACCUCGCAGCACCCAAACGGUCUCAGAGCUCUCCAGGGGCAUAAAGUGAAGCUUACAGCUCAGUUAUUUUAACUUGUGUGAGAUAUCAUGAAGCUUUUAUCUGUUAUUUUAACACAAAGGUUAAUUUAGGUUUUAGGGCGAUGUGCUGAUAAACCGACAAUCUGGAAAAAAAAUCUUGACUUGUGCCCUUUUCCGUGAUGUAAAUACUCUCCCCGUGGCUGGUUCCAGAUGGCCAACUCGAUGUCACCGACUGCGGUGGGAAGGGCCAAGCGCAGUUAGCUCUCCCAAGCCCGUGACCACCACUGCAGAAUUUCUAUUCUCCUUCAGACCUCUCUGACUCUCUCCCUCCAUGGUUAUUCUGCUCUUUUCUUUUCCCCCCAUUUUAACAUUUUUGUCACACCUGUUCCUUUCAACGUGAAGCACUCAGAUCUUUUUGUGAAUUAACUUGGGACUUAAGUAAUUAAAUAAAUCAUUACUCAAACAUGAA